UAUUUUCACUGUUACAAUGAUUGAAGGGUACCACUGGCAUGUAGUUCUUCUGCAGUGCACAGCACAGAUUGUUCCACCAAAAUGCCAGUGGGAUUUAUUUACUAACAAUACCGUAUGAUUGUUUGGAGUGGAAUUAUUCUGUUUUAGGGUACAGUAGUCUUCCCCUAAGGUACAGUGGAUAUGUUCCAACAGCCCAGUAGGUGCCUGAAACCAUGGAUAGUGCUGAACCCUGUAUAUAGUAUGUUUUCUCCUAUGCAUACAUACCUUUUUCCUUAAUCAACUAAGUUAACUCUGUUGGAACUGUGGCAGCGGCUCUUCAUCAGCGUACGCAACAUCUCCAGUAAUUCUUAUAUUUUUCAGUCCAGACCUAUUCCUGAAUCUGCGUAACCUUGCCUUCCUUUCAAUGUUCUGUUUGGUUCCUUUGCAUACCUGUUUUGUCAGUUUUGAUAGACUCUCAUUCCUUAUAAAUAGACUUAAAGUUUAGAAAUGUCAUGAUUAAGGUAAUUCUGUAUCCUUUUAAACCUUUAGUUGGAGGCAUACUUCUCUUUCAACAACUCUAAAGUGAGAAUGAGUAGUUAUCUCUCU